UAGUCGGAGGUGUGUCUCGGACGGUCGGUUCGCCGCUUGUCGGUGCUCAACUGGCCGGUCCGGACGUCCUGCCGGUGGGGCUGUAAAAGGCUCCGUUAUCCUUCUUUGGUCCUCUUCAUUGAGUGCCUUGGUGGGCCGGCACGUUUACUUUGAACAAAUUAGAGUGCUCAAAGCAGGCCGUUGGUCGCCUGAAUACUGUGUGCAUGGAAUAAUGGAAUAGGACCUCGGUUCCAUUUUGUUGGUUUUCAGAACUCGAGGUAAUGAUUAAUAGGGACGGACGGGGGCAUUCGUAUUGCGACGUUAGAGGUGAAAUUCUUGGAUCGUCGCAAGACGAACCGAUGCGAAAGCAUUUGCCAAGAACGUUUUCGUUGAUCAAGAACGAAAGUUAGAGGUUCGAAGGCGAUCAGAUACCGCCCUAGUUCUAACCAUAAACGAUGCCAGCUAGCCAUCCGCCGAAGUUCCUUAUAUGACUCGGCGGGCAGCUUCCGGGAAACCAAAGCUCUUGGGUUCCGGGGGAGGUAU
rnacentral:rRNA from 1 species